rnacentral:rRNA from 1 species
UACGUAGGUGGCAAGCGUUGUCCGGAUUUACUGGGCGUAAAGGGUGUGUAGGCGGAUAUUUAAGUAGAAAGUGAAAGGUUGGAGCUCAACUCCAACACUGCUUCCUAUACUGGAUGUCUUGAGUUUCGGAGAGGAAGAUGGAACGACACGUGUAGCGGUGAAAUGCGUUGAUAUGUGUCGGAACACCAAUGGCGAAGGCAAUCUUCUGGACGAACACUGACGCUGAGACACGAAAGCGUGGGUAGCGAACAGG